GAUGAACGCUGGCGGCGUGCCUAACACAUGCAAGUCGAACGGAGUCCAGCCUUUAAGACUUUCGGGUCCAAGAGGGGAAUACUGAGUGGCGGACGGGUGAGUAACACGUGGGCAACCUGGCUCAUAGAGGGGGAUAACAGAGAGAAAUUUCUGCUAUUACUGCAUAAGCACACACUGCCGCAUGGCAGAGGGUGAAAAGACAAUCGCUAUGAGCUGGACCCCCGUCUGAUUAGCCAGUUGGCAGGGUAAGAGCCUACCAAAGCGACGAUCAGUCGCCGAUCUGAGAGGAUGAACGGCCACAUUGGGACUGAGACACGGCCCAAACUCCUACGGGAGGCAGCAGUGGGGGAUAUUGCACAAUGGGGGGAACACUGAUGCAGCGACGCCGCGUGAGUAAAGAAGUAUUUCGGUAUGUAAAGCUCUAUAAACAGGGAAGAUAAUGACAGUACCUGAAUAAGAAGCCCCGACUAACUACGUG
rnacentral:rRNA from 1 species